CAUGUAUGGAGGGAAAGAAGCAGUAGGGCAGUAGUUUGAAAGAUGGUACAUUUUGCUCGAUCUGUGCAGUGUUUGUUGUUGUUGACUUACGUGCGAGUGUUGAUUUCGUGUGUCUACAGUCGACGAAGCAGCUUUCGAUUGUUGUUGCCCUCUGGCUUAGCUUUAGGGGUGUGAAAAGGAGUGAUGAUUCGAAGACUGCGUGAUAACUACGCCACGCUACAGUGGCUAGAUCUAGCCACUGUAGCCACGCGGUCGUGUGCAAAAUUUUCUUUCGAAUUUUGCAAAGGACGACAAAAGUAUGUCAUCGAUUCAAGUCAGAGGAAAUGUUCAGUGAGCUUGUACUGACUGGUAGCAGCUGCUACAGCUUGGAAGUACUGUGUAUUGUGGUCUGAUACAGCGUCUGUGUCGUCGCCGUUUGCUGGUUCCCGUUUAGUGCAUCGCAUAGGCGCGCUGCGCAGGAACUCGCCUUUCACGUGACUGUUGUGUUCCACGAUUUCGUAUUUGGUUCUGCUUUGUGAAGCAACUCAAACGCAGUCGUCGGAUAUGUGAGCGGACUGCGGUCUGACAUGAUGAUGAGCGCGCGUUGGCCAUGCCGGUGUCAGGCGGGAAAUUUCGAUCGCUAUUUGAUCCUACAGCGUUAUUUGGGUUAAUCAGCGACUAUUGCUAAUCGGGAUGAUUAAAUCUGCUUCAAUAAUAACAGGACAAAGGGUGGUGCCAAGAUUUCUCUAGAAGGCUAGGGGCAGUUUCGUCGAGUAGCCGCGAGGUUGGGAAUGUAUUUGUUGUGUUUGAAAAAUGUUUGUACUUAGGGGAGCAAUGUAAGAAAAUUUUCAAUGGGUUAAAGCCUCUCGAAAAUGCAGAACAGAGGAUGAAGAAGUGAGACAGGGCCUCAUCUCGCAACUAUAUGUAAGUUCUCUGAAAAAGGUACUGCACCAUGAGGCUGAUGAAUAGAUAGACUGCACUGAGCUAGUUUUGGCAGCUGCACCUGAGACUUCCACCCCAAAAAUCCUGCCUGUUUGAUCAUUCCAUUUUUACACUUAUUUCUUGUUGAGUGUUCUUAUACCUUUGACUUGCAUGUAUGUAAAGGACUAAAGUUUUUCUGACUAAGCAAGUAUCUCUAAUACUUCAGACACUUAAGGAUGAAAAACUCCUCUUACAUUAUUUCUCACACAUCAUAGUGUUUGACUAGUAAUGUCAAACAUUAUGAGUUUGACUUUAUAUUGGAAAAGGGGGGUAAUAUAUUACUCGAAUUUAAAGGAACACUAAACGUAACUAUUAAGACAAUGUUUAUUGUUGAAAUAGCAGUCCAGAAACUUUGUAGUUUUACUUUUGUGCCAAGGAAGUAUUUAUUUUGAAAAAAAAUCACGUUUUAGUAGUCCGCAUCUGUUUAGCACACUUCAAAUUACCUGUCCGAAGUGGAACGUGUCGCGUCACUGUUGCCAUGCACAACGUUGCACAGUUUUACUGUGCGGCCGUCGACACUUGUAGCAGCAGAGCGAAAGUAGCUGAAGCCACAGCCGCAAAAAUGGCCAUUGAACAGUUUCCUGCCACGGCCUGCGAGGGGGCAGGCGUGCUUGGUUCAACUGGGCACCGCUAGAUGGCAGGACCUGUCCAGUUUAACCAGGCGAAAGUUGAACCUUUGAACCACUCACACCAUUCCUUAUAGUAACGUCCGGCAGUUCUUUUUUCCACUAAUCAAACAGAAACAAACAGGCAGCAUUUUAUUACGUCUCUUGAUGCACGAAAGGUUCUUUAUUUAGUGCACCUAGUUCGAUUACUAGGAAUUAAUUUUAAGUGGUAUUUUUCACGUCAUUGGGAUCGCUUUGCUAAUGUCUUAUGCGUAGUGCAAGUGUUCUCGUGCAUUCACCUUAAUUUCUCGGUACGUAUGGCACAGCUGUUGAUAAUAUUGUUGUUUUAGAUGUUGUCAUUCAUUGAGCUUUCACGCUGACGUAAAUUGUCAUUUGACUUUAGUGUCCUUUUAACGUGACUGGUACGUCGCUGGGUUAUCAAAGGCAGUAGAUCAGGUUUAAAAGUGUAGGAUUCCGCUAACAUCUACGAAAGUCUAAAUGCACAAUCUUCUUUGAGUUUUCUUCCCACAGAAGUCUCGCAAGCCAUGAACCCCAGACCUUGUGCUUAGCAACGGAGAACCAUAACAACCAUUACAGGUUUGGUAGUUUGUAAAGUAGAUUAGCUACAAGCUUUAAUGAUAUACUUGAUGUGUUAGCUCAUAACAUAUGCUUUAUAUCUUUGUCAUGCGUGUUCUCCACCUUUCCGUUGCUGUUUUAUUCAGCUGAAAUCUUUAUGCCGUGCCCUCUUUCAUUCAUUACAGAGGCCUCAGCCAUUCUGCUGGCCAGUGCAUGGAAGAGAGCAUCAAAGGAGCAGAGUAAACCAGUGCUGAAAACAACUUUAGAUCUUCAUAUCUUAAUGAACGAGUCUACUGAUAUUGCCGCAGCACAGUUCCUCCCACAGCCUCAAUUAUAUUUUUGUUGAGAUGCCAAAAUUUGUGCACAAUGAUCUGGUCUGUGGAAUGUAGGCAUUCUGCUAGGGACAAGUAUGUGCACAAGUAUAGGUGCCUUAUGGAGAACAUGGACACAGAAGAUUGCCGCAUCUUCUAGGAACCUUUCCGUAUUUGGACGCUUUGUGCCCCUGCAACAUGUUUUUCCUUGGUUUUGAAGAGCUGCACUAAUAUAAAGAUAUUUGUACAGUUCUACCAAGUUGCCAGGCUCAACUACUUUUGUAAUUAACGAAAUACUGAUGACAGGAAAAUUGUGUUGGUGUGUAAAUCGUGGCACGAUUUUGUCAGUACCUGUAUUCUAUUCAUCUUUGCCCUUUCCUCAAACACAAACGAGGUAUGUUUCAGACUACAUGGUCUACAAUCUUGCAGGUUGAAUGAACUGGUAUAGUACACUUUAUGCAUCCAAACUGGCCCGUGUGGGCUUGGAUUAACACGUGAGUGUUAAAUAGCUCGUUUGGCAAAAAUUUCAGCGACGGUGAUGACAUGGGCGUCAUUGUGAGUGAAAAAUGAUCUUCUCUGAGGCAGAAAACCAGAAACGAUUCAAAGAAUAUAAGUGAUAAAAUUACCCUUGCCAAAAUGAAGAUUGGACACAGGCAAUCUGCGUAGCACACAGACUUGUCGCUUCGUCGCCCGGGUCAGCCAGCCAGUUUGGGCCGUCGCAGGAUAGGACACCUGUGGAAGUGUCCCGAGUGUGGCUAUGUCACAAAGAACCGCGCUCAUAUGUCAGCACACCAAAUAACACACACAGGCGAGCGCCCAUUCAUAUGUGACCACUGCGGCAAAACCUUCAGUCAGAAGUCCCACGUGGUCGGGCACAUUCGCACCCACACCGGUGAGAGACCUUACCAGUGCCACCUCUGUCCCUGGGAUUCUGCAUGGAAAAGUGAGCUUACACGUCACUUGAAGAACAUUCACAAGUGCAGCCAACACUCACCUCAAAGUGCACACGUGUGAAUCGCAAAGAAAACGACUGAGGAGACGUCUUGUUCUGUGGCUUCAAGUGCGUUGCCAAAAGUGCUAAGGUGAGGACUACAUCGUUCAUGCCUGGAGAAAACCUACAACUGUGCUGCUUGAACGACAUAAAGUACGCGCGUAACUCCAGGACACGUGCCAGCAAUGUGCAAAACUUGUGACUUCCCAACACUCAUGACUUCCCAACAAGUGCACACAUGUACACAUGAAACUCAUGACUUCCCAAGUGCACACAUGUUCCUACUUUCUUCUGGUAAGCUGUGUUGCUUUCAGGAUGUUUUCAUGUCUCAUGGCAGCUCCUGUCCAUUUUUCGGAAAGAAUGCUGCUUGAACUUAUUAUUACUUCAGGCAAAUGCCAACAAACUUUUUGUUAACCAGAGCCAAAGAGGAUGCAUUUCAUGAUGUGAUAAUUUUUUCGAACCAUUGGCUAUAUUCCAUGUCGCACGCAUGCUGCCUCUGUUUGAUUUAAAGCAACACCUGGUGUUGUGUUCUGACAAGAAAGCGUGCACAUUUUUCCUUAGCCUGGCGAAGUUGCUAUUAUUCCAGAAUAAGCCAUCUUUAAGUGUUGUUGUUUAUUUGGAGGCGUUGAAAUUGACUGUGCUUCUGCGUUAGUAAAAUAUUGCCAAUGACUUUUCUUAAAGUAUCUUCAUCAUACAUUUUAAUGUGGAGCACAUCAGUUCAUCAUAAUGAAACCUAGUUCAUCAUAGUAGAACCCAUGUGAUUAUGACACUUUGCUCCCUUCUUGUUUUCUUGCCUUUUUUUUUCAUAAGAGUGCUUUCUCAUUCAUCGCAUCAAUUCUGCUCCGUUUCUUUUUUUCUUAAAGGGAACUGCACAUGACCACAUCCUUUCGUCUAGUUAAAUAAGUGUAGGUGUAAUAGCUCAUCCCAAACAACGCGUCAAGUGCCCGAGUGAGAGUGGAUGUAGAGAAUUACUCUCAAGUUUUACCUUCUGGUUGAUGUUUAUGUUUCAGAAUAUUCUCCAUUGUAGAACAUUUAGAAGUGUAGCAAGUUCGAUGUCACAGUCAAGGUUUUUUUUGCUAACUGGCUUUUUUGUUUUAUUAGUGUUGAAAAAUUGACUUUGAGGAACUGUGGACUUUUUGAGGUGUGGUAGUUCUGCAUUAAAGAGUUAACAAUGUGAGAGUGUCGGUCAGUGGUUUUCGUCCCUCAGUUCUGGCCAGGGUGCGUACAGGCCCUUGAUAUCCUUGAAAGACCUUGCAUUUGAAAAGUGUGUUUUCAAGGCUCUUGAAAUCUCUGUAAAUUAUUCCCGUUCUUUAAUGUCCUUGAAUUUCCCAAACAAUGCUUUCGCAAUCGGCACUGCAGCCUUCUUAAUAUGAUAGGCGCCGUUUACCUGACAAACUCCCCAUUUUAGAAACAGCAAUUUGGUGUGAGUGCACGUGGUUUCAUUUUGCUAAGCUGCACAGGGGAAAAAAAAAAGUUACUUGGGGUCAAACCACGAACGAAUGAAUGAGAGACACGUAUUGCUUGUCGGUGCUGGCUUUUCCCUUUUUUCCAAAACGUGAAGCUAAAGUAAAUAAUGCAGACUAGACAUGUUUGUUAUAAUUGUCAUAUCCAUGUAUUUAAUUUAAUGUAGUAAAAUUAGUCUUUUUUGGAAACCUUAGAGUAUAAAGGAAUUGCAACCUUGUGUGUCGCUUUGAGUCCUUGAAACACCUGUCGCAGUUUCUGAAACGUUUUGAAUAUUCGCUUUGGAAACCUUUGCAACCGUUGGUUCUGCUGCAGCAGUGUUUCUUUUUGGUGGUCUUCUCGAAAGCAUGAUAUGCUAUUUCAUGCAAAUGGAAAUGCCUUUUUUUUAUUGCCUAAUACUCUAGCAAACCAGGGAGGCAAAUACGCAAACAAAAAAUGCUAGACUGGUUUUGUCAAAUUCGUUGAGGUCUGUGAAUGAUUGAUUAAACCAUUAAUAUAUGUAGUAUGCA